rnacentral:rRNA from 1 species
GACGAACGCUGGCGGCGCGCCUAACACAUGCAAGUCGAGCGGGAAACUUUUUAAGGAUUCUUCGGAUGAAUUAAAAAGUGGAGAGCGGCGGACGGGUGAGUAACGCGUGAGAAACCUGCCCUAUACAGGGGGAUAGCCAUUGGAAACGAUGAUUAAUACCCCAUAUGACCACAGUAUCGCAUGAUACAGCGGUGAAAACUCCGGUGGUAUAGGAUGGUCUCGCGUCUGAUUAGCUAGUUGGUGGGGUAACGGCCUACCAAGGCGACGAUCAGUAGCCGGCCUGAGAGGGUGACCGGCCACACUGGAACUGAGACACGGUCCAGACUCCUACGGGAGGCAGCAGUGGGGAAUAUUGCACAAUGGGCGAAAGCCUGAUGCAGCGACGCCGCGUGAACGAUGAAAGCUUUCGAGUCGUAAAGUUCUGUUCUUGGGGAAGAUAACGACGGUACCCAAGGAGAAAGCACCGGCUAAAUACGUGCCAGCAGCCGCGGUAAUACGUAUGGUGCAAGCGUUGUCCGGAAUUACUGGGCGUAAAGAGUUCGUAGGCGGCUAGAUUAGUCAGAAGUGAAAGGCUACGGCUCACCCGUAGUAAGCUUUUUGAAACUGUCUAACUUGAGUACUGGAA